rnacentral:rRNA from 1 species
UACGAAGGGGACUAGCGUUGUUCGGAAUUACUGGGCGUAAAGCGCACGUAGGCGGAUUUGUAAGUCAGGGGUGAAAUCCCCGGGCUCAACCCGGGAACUGCGUCCGAUACUGGAAGGCUUGAAUCCGGGAGAGGGAUGCGGAAUUCCAGGUGUAGCGGUGAAAUGCGUAGAUAUCUGGAGGAACACCGGUGGCGAAGGCGGCAUCCUGGACCGGCAUUGACGCUGAGGCGCGAAGCCAGGGGAGCAAACGGG